UGGUAGCUCAGCAUUGGUUCAGGU
rnacentral:misc_RNA from 1 species